UGGCUAAGUGUUUUGGGGGUAUGUGGGAGGUCCUAAGUUUAAGCCAUGCCUUUGGCAAAUUUUGAAAUUUUUCUAAGUUAAGUCUUACUCUUGUUCAGUAAGCUUUUAUUUAAUUGUUUGCAAAACCAUAUUAGAAUAGGCCAGCUAGUCUAGUGGUUAAGUGGAGUGUUGGUGUGUUGGAGGACUUGUGUUUGAUUCUCUGCGAUGGCAAGGAGUAGUAAUUUUGCUUAAAGUUCGGCCAGAGUUGUGUUAAACUGGGAUUCUGAGUAAUGGAUGUGUAGUGGGAGUUGAGAGAGAAAAUUAAGGGAUUGAGAUAGGGUAGGUAGUGGGAUUUAAGUAAAACAGUUUCUCAAAAAUUCUCUCUGUAGAAAAAAAACUGAUCAUCUUCUCCUCCACUUCUUCUUUUUUCAUUUUUUUCUUCUUCUUUCUUUCUCUUCUUCUCUGUUCUUUGCCGAAUUCUUUCCCCAUUCUUACUGUUGUUUUCAUUUUUGUUUUAUUUUCCCUACUAUCGUUGUUUCAAGUCUCGUUCUUCACCACUUUUUCGUGCGUUGUCGGUUAAAGGGCUGAAGUUAUUCGAUCGGUGUCGUGGUGGUGAAGAGACUUCGUUGUUCGAUCUAAGGUUGGAAAUUGCUUGGAGUUGCUUUUACGUUGAAAACGAUACAGGUGUGUACCCGAAACGUAGAAAACAUGGCUGUACGAUUGACGAGACCAGGCCGUACAUGUAAGACACGACUGUGAUAGCCAAGGCCAAAUUGGAUCGUACGGGCCACACGGGCAUGUGGGCCCACAUGGGUAGGCCACAUGGGCGUGUGAGCCCAUUUUCACUUAAUUGAUUGCUAAGAUUGCACGGGUCGUCCAAGUCAACUGUGAACCUACUGUAGGGUAAUCCCCAGACCUAGACAGAUCGGUACGGCAAAGGACUCGACGGUUACCACAGUUUCUAGACUUUACGUUUUUUUUAAUUUUUGUUUUAUGAUUUUAUUAUUAUUGGGAUGUAAUUUAAGGACUCUUGGGACUUUUUCUUAAAUUUGGUUUUUUUUUGUGGAAUUAUAACUGCUAGUCGUAGGAAGUUUGGUUUUCAAAA